rnacentral:rRNA from 1 species
GAUGAACGCUGGCGGCGUGCCUAAUACAUGCAAGUCGAGCGAACAGACGAGGAGCUUGCUCCUCUGACGUUAGCGGCGGACGGGUGAGUAACACGUGGAUAACCUACCUAUAAGACUGGGAUAACUUCGGGAAACCGGAGCUAAUACCGGAUAAUAUAUUGAACCGCAUGGUUCAAUAGUGAAAGACGGUUUUGCUGUCACUUAUAGAUGGAUCCGCGCCGCAUUAGCUAGUUGGUAAGGUAACGGCUUACCAAGGCAACGAUGCGUAGCCGACCUGAGAGGGUGAUCGCCCACACUGGAACUGAGACACGGUCCAGACUCCUACGGGAGGCAGCAGUAGGGAAUCUUCCGCAAUGGGCGAAAGCCUGACGGAGCAACGCCGCGUGAGUGAUGAAGUUCUUCGGAUCGUAAAACUCUGUUAUUAGGGAAGAACAAAUGUGUAAGUAACUAUGCACGUCUUGACGGUACCUAAUCAGAAAGCCACGGCUAACUACGUG